ACACUCCUGCGGGAGGCAGCAGUGGGGAAUAUUGGACAAUGGGCGCAAGCCUGAUCCAGCCGUGCCGCGUGAGUGAUGAAGGCCCUAGGGUUGUAAAGCUCUUUCACCGGUGAAGAUAAUGACGGUAACCGGAGAAGAAGCCCCGGCUAACUUCGUGCCAGCAGCCGCGGUAAUACGAAGGGGGCUAGCGUUGUUCGGAUUUACUGGGCGUAAAGCGCACGUAGGCGGACUAUUAAGUCAGGGGUGAAAUCCCGGGGCUCAACCCCGGAACUGCCUUUGAUACUGGUAGUCUUGAGUUCGAGAGAGGUGAGUGGAAUUCCGAGUGUAGAGGUGAAAUUCGUAGAUAUUCGGAGGAACACCAGUGGCGAAGGCGGCUCACUGGCUCGAUACUGACGCUGAGGUGCGAAAGCGUGGGGAGCAAACAGGAUUAGAUACCCCAGUAGUCCCAUGA
rnacentral:rRNA from 1 species